rnacentral:rRNA from 1 species
AGUGAACGCUGGCGGUAGGCCUAACACAUGCAAGUCGAACGGCAGCACAGUAAGAGCUUGCUCUUACGGGUGGCGAGUGGCGGACGGGUGAGGAAUACAUCGGAAUCUACUUUUUCGUGGGGGAUAACGUAGGGAAACUUACGCUAAUACCGCAUACGACCUACGGGUGAAAGCAGGGGAUCUUCGGACCUUGCGCGAUUGAAUGAGCCGAUGUCGGAUUAGCUAGUUGGCGGGGUAAAGGCCCACCAAGGCGACGAUCCGUAGCUGGUCUGAGAGGAUGAUCAGCCACACUGGAACUGAGACACGGUCCAGACUCCUACGGGAGGCAGCAGUGGGGAAUAUUGGACAAAGGGCGCAAGCCUGAUCCAGCCAUACCGCGUGGGUGAAGAAGGCCUUCGGGUUGUAAAGCCCUUUUGUUGGGAAAGAAAAGCAGCAGGUUAAUACCCCGCUGUUCUGACGGUACCCAAAGAAUAAGCACCGGCUAACUUUGUG